CUGUUGUACAGGUGAUAGCACUUCCCUGGACGCACCCUGAAUGAGAUCAGAAAGGUCAGAGGUCAAAUCAACUCUUCAGAUGUAGAAUCAAGUGGCUUCUCUCUGUGGUUCUGGAACCACAGACAGCUGACACUGAGAAUAAAAAAACAACCUUCCUGCUCGUCCUCUCCUCUGCUUAGCGUUAGCCAGACUGACCCACUCUGCUGCCAUGGUGCUGAUGUUGUUGUUGGUGUCGAAGUGCGUCUCUUUAAUCUUUCCUCCAUCGAUCACAAACACCACAUCAUCAAUGGUGAUGCUGCCGGAACAGGACAAACAGUCAUGAGUACUUGACUGGACUUCAACACACCUGGUUUUGUCCCGUGUCUGUGGAGACACAGAUUUGAUCUGAUUCUGACAGCACUCACCUGGUCUCAGCGAUGUUGGUGGCAAUGACAAUCUUCCGAACUCC